GGAGAGGUACCGAAGCGGUCAUAACGGGGCGGUCUUGAAAACCGUUUAGGUGAGUAGCCUGCAUGGGUUCGAAUCCCAUCCUCUCCGCCA
rnacentral:tRNA from 1 species